rnacentral:rRNA from 1 species
UACGGGGGAGCAAGCGUUGUUCGGAUUUACUGGGCGUAAAGGGCGCGUAGGCGGCCACCGCAAGUCGACUGUGAAAUCUCCGGGCUUAACCCGGAAAGGUCAGCCGAUACUGCGGGACUAGAGUACAGAAGGGGCAACUGGAAUUCUCGGUGUAGCGGUGAAAUGCGUAGAUAUCGAGAGGAACACCUGCGGCGAAGGCGGGUUGCUGGGCUGAUACUGACGCUGAGGCGCGAAAGCCAGGGGAGGCGAACGGG